UCGACGAACUUCCGUUAAUUGAUUAUGACGUACUUGUACUGAUUGAGAUUUUAACACGAAGUGAGUGGCGAACGGGUGAGUAACACGUGGGUAACCUGCCCAGAAGUAGGGGAUAACACCUGGAAACAGAUGCUAAUACCGUAUAACAGAGAAAACCGCAUGGUUUUCUUUUAAAAGAUGGCUCUGCUAUCACUUCUGGAUGGACCCGCGGCGUAUUAGCUAGUUGGUGAGGUAAAGGCUCACCAAGGCAGUGAUACGUAGCCGACCUGAGAGGGUAAUCGGCCACAUUGGGACUGAGACACGGCCCAGACUCCUACGGGAGGCAGCAGUAGGGAAUCUUCCACAAUGGACGCAAGUCUGAUGGAGCAACGCCGCGUGAGUGAAGAAGGGUUUCGGCUCGUAAAGCUCUGUUGUUAAAGAAGAACGUGGGUAAGAGUAACUGUUUACCCAGUGACGGUAUUUAACCAGAAAGCCACGGCUAACUACGUGCCAGCAGCCGCGGUAAUACGUAGGUGGCAAGCGUUAUCCGGAUUUAUUGGGCGUAAAGCGAGCGCAGGCGGUCUUUUAAGUCUAAUGUGAAAGCCUUCGGCUCAACCGAAGAAGUGCAUUGGAAACUGGGAGACUUGAGUGCAGAAGAGGACAGUGGAACUCCAUGUGUAGCGGUGAAAUGCGUAGAUAUAUGGAAGAACACCAGUGGCGAAGGCGGCUGUCUGGUCUGCAACUGACGCUGAGGCUCGAAAGCAUGGGUAGCGAACAGGAUUAGAUACCCUGGUAGUCCAUGCCGUAAACGAUGAUUACUAAGUGUUGGAGGGUUUCCGCCCUUCAGUGCUGCAGCUAACGCAUUAAGUAAUCCGCCUGGGGAGUACGACCGCAAGGUUGAAACUCAAAAGAAUUGACGGGGGCCCGCACAAGCGGUGGAGCAUGUGGUUUAAUUCGAAGCUACGCGAAGAACCUUACCAGGUCUUGACAUCUUCUGACAGUCUAAGAGAUUAGAGGUUCCCUUCGGGGACAGAAUGACAGGUGGUGCAUGGUUGUCGUCAGCUCGUGUCGUGAGAUGUUGGGUUAAGUCCCGCAACGAGCGCAACCCUUAUUACUAGUUGCCAGCAUUAAGUUGGGCACUCUAGUGAGACUGCCGGUGACAAACCGGAGGAAGGUGGGGACGACGUCAAAUCAUCAUGCCCCUUAUGACCUGGGCUACACACGUGCUACAAUGGAUGGUACAACGAGUCGCGAGACCGCGAGGUUAAGCUAAUCUCUUAAAACCAUUCUCAGUUCGGACUGUAGGCUGCAACUCGCCUACACGAAGUCGGAAUCGCUAGUAAUCGC
rnacentral:rRNA from 1 species